UACGUAGGGUGCGAGCGUUAAUCGGAAUUACUGGGCGUAAAGCGUGCGCAGGCGGUUCGGUGUGUCCGCGGUGAAAGCCCCGGGCUCAACCUGGGAAUGGCCGUUGAAACUGGCGAACUGGAGUGUGGCAGAGGGGGGUGGGAUUCCGCGUGUAGCAGUGAAAUGCGUAGAGAUGCGGAGGAACACCGAUGGCGAAGGCAGCCCCCUGGGCUGACACUGACGCUCAGGCACGAAAGCGUGGGGAGCAAACAGG
rnacentral:rRNA from 1 species